AACUGGGCGGAUGACCUGUGGGUCGGAGUGAAAGGCUAAUCAAGCUCAGUGAUAUCUGGUUCUCUCCGAAAUAUAUUUAGGUAUAGCCUCGGAUAAAUUCCGUGGCGGCCGUAGAGCACUGUUUGGACUAGGGGCCCUACCAGGUUACCGAAUUCAGGCAAACUCCGAAGACCGUCACGGCUACUCCGGGAGUCAGUUGCUGGGGGAUAAACUUCAGCGUCAAGAGGGAAACAGCCCAGACCGCCAGCUAAGGUCCCUAAGUACUAGCUAAGUGGUAAACGAUGUUCGAGUGCAUAGACAACCAGGAGGUUGGCUUAGAGGCAGCCACCCUUGAAAGAGUGCGUAACAGCUCACUGGUCAAGUGUUCGAGCGCGGACAAUGUAACGGGGCUCAAGCUAGUCACCGAAGCUGCGGGUGCGAUAUUUAUAUCGCGCGGUAGGAGAGCGUUCCCAGGGCAGUGAAGCGGCGGGGUAACCCAGCCGUGGAGGCCUGGGAAGUGAGAAUGCCGGCAUGAGUAACGAAAGAAGGGUGAGAAUCCCUUCCACCGAUUGCCCAAGGAUUCCUGAGUAAAGUUCGUCUGCUCAGGGUUAGUCAGGACCUAAGGCGAGGCCGAAAGGCGUAGUCGAUGGCCAACGGGUUGAUAUUCCCGUACCACGUCGCGUUCGUUUGACCGAUGGGGGGACGAGGAAGGCUAUGGGAGCCCAGGCGAUAGUUGUCCUGGGGUAAGCGUGUAGGGGUGGUUCUAGGCAAAUCCGGAACCGCAUUAACCUGAGACGCGAUGCCAGCUGGCUUUAAGCCGGCGAGUCCCGGACGCCAAGCCUCCAAGAAAAGCCUCUAGGGAGAACGCGCGUGCCUGUACCAAAACCGACACAGGUGGGCAAGUGGAGAACACUAAGGUGAUCGAGAUAACCCUCGUUAAGGAACUCGGCAAAAUCGCCCCGUAACUUCGGGAUAAGGGGCGCCCCAGUAGGGUGAAGCACUUCGCGUGUGGAGCCUGAGAGGGCCGCAGUGAAUAGGUUCAAGCGACUGUUUACCAAAAACACAGGUCUCUGCUAAGUCGUAAGACGACGUAUAGGGGCUGACGCCUGCCCGGUGCCGGAAGGUUACGUGGAGGUGUUAGGCGCAAGCCGAAGCACCGAAACUAAGCCCCGGUAAACGGCGGCCGUAACUAUAACGGUCCUAAGGUAGCGAAAUUCCUUGUCGGGUAAGUUCCGACCUGCACGAAUGGCGUAACGACUUGAACGCUGUCUCAACGAGGGGCUCGGUGAAAUUGCAGUCUCGGUGAAGAUGCCGAGUACCCGCGGCUAGACGGAAAGACCCCGUGAACCUUUACUACAACUUGGUAUUGGGGUUCGAUGCACUUCGCUCAGGAUAGGUGGGAGCCUUGGAAGCACCGACUGCGGUCGGUGUGGAGGCAACCUUGAGAUACCACCCUUGGUGUAUUGGAUCUCUAACCGCACGCCGUGAAUCCGGGUGCGGAACAGUGACAGGUGGGUAGUUUGACUGGGGCGGUCGCCUCCCAAAAUGUAACGGAGGCGCGCAAAGGUUCCCUCAGCACGGUCGGAAAUCGUGCGUAGAGUGUAAAGGCAGUAAGGGAGCUUGACUGCGAGACAGACAUGUCGAGCAGGUACGAAAGUAGGCCUUAGUGAUCCGGCGGUAGCAAGUGGAAGCGCCGUCGCUCAACGGACAAAAGGUACUCCGGGGAUAACAGGCUUAUCGGGCCCAAGAGUCCACAUCGACGGCCCGGUUUGGCACCUCGAUGUCGGCUCGUCGCAUCCUGGGGCUGAAGUAGGUCCCAAGGGUUGGGCUGUUCGCCCAUUAAAGCGGUAC
rnacentral:rRNA from 1 species